UACGUAGGGUGCAAGCGUUGUCCGGAAUUAUUGGGCGUAAAGAGCUCGUAGGCGGUCUGUCGCGUCUGCUGUGAAAACUCAGGGCUUAACCCUGAGCUUGCAGUGGGUACGGGCAGACUAGAGUGCGGUAGGGGAGACUGGAAUUCCUGGUGUAGCGGUGAAAUGCGCAGAUAUCAGGAGGAACACCGGUGGCGAAGGCGGCUGUCUGGGGUCUUGCUGACGCUGAGGCACGAAAGCCGGGGGAGCGAACGGG
rnacentral:rRNA from 1 species